rnacentral:antisense_RNA from 16 species
AACAAUGGUGGCUCAGGCGGGGCACCCGUAAGGGUGGCCGGUAUCCAAGGAAGCCGGUUUCUCACUCCUGUCUGGGCUACCACCUC